CAAAGGAGGCGACUCCGGUGACGGAUGGGCAUGCGGCGCAUUAGGUAGUUGGUAGGGUAACGGCCUACCAAGCCGACGAUGCGUAGGGGUUCUGAGAGGAAGGUCCCCCACAUUGGAACUGAGACACGGUCCAAACUCCUACGGGAGGCAGCAGUGAGGAAUAUUGGUCAAUGGCCGGAAGGCUGAACCAGCCAAGUCGCGUGAGGGAAUAAGGCCCUAUGGGUCGUAAACCUCUUUUGUCAGGGAGCAAAGGCGUCCACGUGUGGACGAGAGGAGAGUACCUGAAGAAAAAGCAUCGGCUAACUCCGUGCCAGCAGCCGCGGUAAUACGGAGGAUGCGAGCGUUAUCCGGAUUUAUUGGGUUUAAAGGGUGCGUAGGCGGAGUGUCAAGUCAGCGGUAAAAUUUCGGGGCUCAACCCCGUCGUGCCGUUGAAACUGACACCCUUGAGUGAGCGAGAAGUAAGCGGAAUGCGUGGUGUAGCGGUGAAAUGCAUAGAUAUCACGCAGAACGCCGAUUGCGAAGGCAGCUUACCGGCGCUCAACUGACGCUGAGGCACGAAAGUGCGGGUAUCGAACAGGAUUAGAUACCCUGGUAGUCCGCACAGUAAACGAUGAAUGCUAGAUGUCCGGGGCGAAUGAGCUCUGG
rnacentral:rRNA from 1 species